GACGAACGCUGGCGGCGUGCUUAACACAUGCAAGUCGAACGGAAAGGCCCUGCUUUUGUGGGGUGCUCGAGUGGCGAACGGGUGAGUAACACGUGAGUAACCUGCCCUUGACUUUGGGAUAACUUCAGGAAACUGGGGCUAAUACCGGAUAGGAGCUCCUGCUGCAUGGUGGGGGUUGGAAAGUUUCGGCGGUUGGGGAUGGACUCGCGGCUUAUCAGCUUGUUGGUGGGGAAGUGGCUUACCAAGGCUUUGACGGGUAGCCGGCCUGAGAGGGUGACCGGCCACAUUGGGACUGAGAUACGGCCCAGACUCCUACGAGAGGCAGCAGUGGGGAAUAUUGCACAAUGGGCGGAAGCCUGAUGCAGCAACGCCGCGUGCGGGAUGACGGCCUUCGGGUUGUAAACCGCUUUCGCCUGUGACGAAGCGUGAGUGACGGUAAUGGGUAAAGAAGCACCGGCUAACUACGUG
rnacentral:rRNA from 1 species